rnacentral:rRNA from 1 species
AGCCUGAACGCUGGCGGCGUGGCUAAGACAUACAAGUCGUACGGAGGUAGCAAUACCUCAGUGGCGAACGGGUGAGUAAUGAAUCGUUAACGUGCCCCGGACUCUGGGAUAGCCGGUCGAAAGGCCGGGUAAUACCAGAUGAUAUACCUUUAUCGCAUGAUAGAGGUCUCAAAGGUCCGCCGGUCUGGGAGCGGGCGAUUUCGUAUCAGCUAGUUGGUGAGGUAACGGCUCACCAAGGCGACGACGCGUAGCCGGACUGAGAGGUUGGCCGGCCACAUUGGGACUGAGACACUGCCCGGACUCCUACGGGGGGCUGCAGUAACGAAUCUUCCGCAAUGCACGAAAGUGUGACGGAGCGACGCCGCGUGUGGGACGAAGCCCCUUCGGGGGUGUAAACCACUGUCAGAGGAAAGAAAGUUCUGAUCUACCUCAGAGGAAGAGGCGGCUAACUCUGCGCCAGCAGCCGC